rnacentral:rRNA from 1 species
AUUGAACGCUGGCGGCAGGCUUAACACAUGCAAGUCGAGCGAGCGGCGGACGGGUGAGUAAUGUCUGGGAAACUUCCUGAUCGGGGGGGAUCACUACUGGAAACGGACGCUUAUACCGCAUACCAUCAGAUUUGCCCAGCUGGGAUUAGCGAGUAGGGGGGGUAAUGGCUCACCGGGGCGACAAUCCCUCGCUGGUUUGCGAGGGUGACGAGCCACACUGGAACUGAGACAGGGUCCAGAUCCCAACGGGAGGCAGCAUGGGGGAAUAUUGCACAAUGGGCGAAAGCCGGAGGCAGCAAUGCGGGGGGGAUGAAGAAGGCCUUCGGGUUGUAAAGUACUUUCAGCGGGGAGGCGUUACCCGCAGAGGAAGCAACGGCUAACUACGUGCCAGCAGCCGCGGUAAUUC